CAGAUGGUUAUCAGGACAUUUUCUGUAUUAACAGCUGCACUGGCAUUUGAGGAAACCACAAGAUAGGACCCAACAUGGAGCAACCUUCUCAUUUGAUGAAAAUGGAGAAUAUAUCACUGGGUUACGGAUCUAUAAAGGUAUCACAGAUGCAGAUGAAAUGAAUAACAACUUCUUUGCUGAGUUUUCACCUUGGGCUCCACCAGAUCAGCAGCUGAACAUCACUUCAUCAUUAAUAAAAUGGAAGACAAAUAACAAUGAAAUCCCAAUAGCUCAAUGCUCAGCCAGUUGUGCCGCUGGAUACAGGAAGGUGCCAAUAACUGGAGCCAAAACCUGCUGUUAUGAUUGUGCCCCUUGUUCCAAGGGAGAGAUCUCCAACACAACUGCAGCUGCACUGGCAUUUGAGGAAACCACAAGAUAGGACCCAACAUGGAGCAACCUUCUCAUUUGAUGAAAAUGGAGAAUAUAUCACUGGGUUACGGAUCUAUAAAGGUAUCACAGAUGCAGAUGAAAUGAAUAACAACUUCUUUGCUGAGUUUUCACCUUGGGCUCCACCAGAUCAGCAGCUGAACAUCACUUCAUCAUUAAUAAAAUGGAAGACAAAUAACAAUGAAAUCCCAAUAGCUCAAUGCUCAGCCAGUUGUGUCCCUGGACAAAGGAAGGUGCCAAUACCUGGAGCCAAAACCUGCUGUUAUGAUUGUGGCCCUUGUUCCAAUGGAGAGAUCUCCAACACAACUGCAGCUGCACUGGCAUUUGAGGAAACCACAAGAUAGGACCCAACAUGGAGCAACCUUCUCAUUUGAUGAAAAUGGAGAAUAUAUCACUGGGUUACGGAUCUAUAAAGGUAUCACAGAUGCAGAUGAAAUGAAUAACAACUUCUUUGCUGAGUUUUCACCUUGGGCUCCACCAGAUCAGCAGCUGAACAUCACUUCAUCAUUAAUAAAAUGGAAGACAAAUAACAAUGAAAUCCCAAUAGCUCAAUGCUCAGCCAAUUGUGCCCCUGGAUACAGGAAGGUGCCAAUACCUGGAGCCAAAACCUGCUGUUAUGAUUGUGCCCCUUGUUCCAAUGGAGAGAUCUCCAACACAACUGGUACAAAUGUCAUUUUUGAUAAUGUAU